UCAACCUCAAUCAACUCUACACACGGGUUGAUUUACUGUUGGUUUGCUAAUGUUGAUGAAUUGAAGGAUUUGGCCAACAACACUCAAACUCUACAUCUACACGCAGAUGCUAUACCUCUCCUCAGCCUAGCCUCAUUUGUACUAUCAGAACAUGAAUCCCAGCGAUUUCCCUUCGAAUAUAACACCCGCAUUCUGCGUCACAGUCAAGGAUGACGAAUAUAAUUUUCUUUCUAUUUGUUCACAUGCUAGAGAGGCUCCACGAAGACACUAAUUUGAGGUUGGACAAACUCGCACUUCGUAUUGGGUAUGAGUUCGACCUCGACAAAGCUUAGAAGGACGUCUUCCAACAGCUAGGACGCCUUCCAGGUCUCACUUGGGAAUAAAAGUUCGAUGUCGGCUAACUGAUAUUGGAGAAGUGGAACGCCUCAAUUUUUUCCUUGGGAUGCCCAACGACGACUGUGUUGCUUACGUGUUUCGUGCCCUCACAAAAUUUAAAUGAAAUGCUUGUUUAAUUAGCUGGUUUUUGUAGUUGAACUCUAAGUCGGAACUCAUGUGCUUUUUUUGUUGGUAGAUAUCUGUCAAUCUGACUUUCUGUUAUUGCUUAUUGGAGAUGGCUUCCUCUGUCUGAAGCCAUUGGCUUGCGUCGACUGUAGGAUUGUCUAAGUAUGUUCCUUGUCUGAUGAACUCGAACAAUUAGGUUGAUAUUUAAUAUUUUCUAUGCACGUUUGUUGAAACUUA